AGCUCCAAUAGCGUAUAUUAAAGUUGUUGCGGUUAAAAGCUCGUAGUUGGAUUUCUGCUGAAGACAACCGGUCUGCCCUCUGGGUGAGCAUCUGGUUUGGAUUCGGCAUCAUCUUAGAGAACGUAUCUGCACUUGACUGUGUGGUGCGGUAUCUUAGACUUUUACUUUGAGGAAAUCAGAGUGCUUCAAGCAGGCGAAUGCCUUGGAUACAUUAGCAUGGAAUAAUAAGAUAGGACCUCGGUUCUAUUUUGUUGGUUUCUAGAACUGAGGUAAUGAUUAAUAGGGAUAGUUGGGGGCAUUUGUAUUAACGCGUCAGAGGUGGAAUUCUUGGAUUGCGUUACGACAAACUACUGCGAAAGCAUUUGCCAAGGAUGUUUUCA
rnacentral:rRNA from 1 species